CAGGCUAACACAUGCAAGUCGAGCGGAAACGAGUUAUCUGAACCUUCGGGGAACGAUAACGGCGUCGAGCGGCGGACGGGUGAGUAAUGCCUAGGAAAUUGCCCUGAUGUGGGGGAUAACCAUUGGAAACGAUGGCUAAUACCGCAUAAUGCCUACGGGCCAAAGAGGGGGACCUUCGGGCCUCUCGCGUCAGGAUAUGCCUAGGUGGGAUUAGCUAGUUGGUGAGGUAAUGGCUCACCAAGGCGACGAUCCCUAGCUGGUCUGAGAGGAUGAUCAGCCACACUGGAACUGAGACACGGUCCAGACUCCUACGGGAGGCAGCAGUGGGGAAUAUUGCACAAUGGGCGCAAGCCUGAUGCAGCCAUGCCGCGUGUGUGAAGAAGGCCUUCGGGUUGUAAAGCACUUUCAGUCGUGAGGAAGGUAGUGUAGUUAAUAGCUGCAUUAUUUGACGUUAGCGACAGAAGAAGCACCGGCUAACUCCGUGCCAGCAGCCGCGGUAAUACGGAGGGUGCGAGCGUUAAUCGGAAUUACUGGGCGUAAAGCGCAUGCAGGUGGUUUGUUAAGUCAGAUGUGAAAGCCCGGGGCUCAACCUCGGAAUUGCAUUUGAAACUGGCAGACUAGAGUACUGUAGAGGGGGGUAGAAUUUCAGGUGUAGCGGUGAAAUGCGUAGAGAUCUGAAGGAAUACCGGUGGCGAAGGCGGCCCCCUGGACAGAUACUGACACUCAGAUGCGAAAGCGUGGGGAGCAAACAGGAUUAGAUACCCUGGUAGUCCACGCCGUAAACGAUGUCUACUUGGAGGUUGUGGCCUUGAGCCGUGGCUUUCGGAGCUAACGCGUUAAGUAGACCGCCUGGGGAGUACGGUCGCAAGAUUA
rnacentral:rRNA from 1 species